UGGUGGUUCAGUGGUAGAAUUCUUGCCUUCCAUGCAGGAGACCCAGGUUCGAGUCCCAGCCA
rnacentral:tRNA from 1 species